CCGCGCGGAUCAACGUGACCGUGACGUGACCCGGAAAGAAUCCUGGGCUCACGGACUUCAGCAACUGUCGAAGCCAAACGUCUUGUCUUGAGAGACGGACAAGGCUGUUUGGGGAGAAAAGAAAAAUACCGAAUUCAAAAUGUUCCCGUGUGGACGAUGGAAAGAGGAACCCAGGGCGGAGGAGAAAAGGUCACCCGGGUGACGGUAUGUUCGUGACGUCACACUAAAUACCGUGUCACCAAGCUGACACGCCAGUCAGAAUUGUCGUCUAUGAACUGCUGCGCUGGUGGACGUUGACGGGGGAAGGUCCGCGGAGUUGAGCGAUGACAGCGGCGCGGGUGAGUCGGACUGCGUGAGGGACCUGCUCCGGGUCUGCUGGCGAGGCACUGCUCGGCGCGCGCCCUCUGCCGGUCACCAUGGCGAACUGCCGAAGACACGCCGCGUUCAUGCAGGUACUUCACCCGUCGGGAACCUUCCAUGUGUUCCCACAGACGUGUUCCACCACAGUAAGGCAACGAAACGCACAAGAAUGAAUGUUUGAAAGCCAGAAAGCUUCCUGGCUGGCUCCCAGAGAUGCUCUGGCUCGAGUCCUGAGGGAUUCUCGGGUGCGCGUGUGUGCCGCUGAGGGGGGCGCCACCUGAAACUGGGGGUCGAACAAAAUACACUUGGUCGAAUAAGCAGAGAGCCGGAUAGCGUGAGCAGCGCGAGUCACACACAACUGAUCAAGCGGGUCCGGUAACAGUGUCAUCAGCCACUUCUAAACAUGGACACAUCCGCAUUCAAGAAGAAGGAUUUUCACUUUGAAAUGACCCAUGGCAUUGACCUCUAGCCUCCUGGGAGUCUUUCGCGGGAGCAAUAGUUGGAUUUUCUAAAACAAUAAGGAGUAUUUCCGUGUCUUUCCAACCAGCUCCGUUUGAGCAUGACCGUAAUACUCGCUUUACACGAGCACUGUGGAACUGCGGAGCGUCGUUCUGAUGCGGGCUUGACUCCAGUGUUUACGUUUGGGCUCGACAUUUCUGGUCCGUGAGUGAUGGAACACACCGGACUCCGAGUCGGUGUUCUAGCGAAUGUUGGGCGGCUGGUCACGAGGGGGCGCUCCAGCCCCGCCACCGCCGUUCGUCUCUUCUGCAGAGGAAGCAAGGAUUUCUUUCUUCUUAGCAGCCAGCCAUUAUUUGGAGUCGGACAAGGUUCCGUGUUGAGAAUGCUGCGUUGGCGCUGUGACGAGAAUAAGUGGCGCGAGCGGUUCUCUAAUCCCUUUGAAUGGUUGUGUUCCGUUGAGGGAAACUGGACCGAACGUGGCCAGCAGGCGGCGCAGUGAGGAGGCAGCGGCUGCUGAAGAAGAAGAAGAAGAAGAAGAAGGAGAACUCAGCGGAGGCUCGCGGAAGAAUCCCGUUUCAGGAGUUUCUCGAAGAAACUCUCCACUCUGUUGGUGCUCGUCAACAGUUCCUUCACUUCCAGAUUCGACUCGAAGAAUGUCUUCUCCACACCUGGGUGCGGCCACGGCUGCAGGGCUCCACGAGGAAGUGCUGAGGCCGAGCAGGGAGGUGGGCUGCCAGUGGGAGAGUCCGCAGGGGCAGAAGAGGGAGGUGGGCUGCCAGUGUGACCCCGCAGAGAGGAGGGACGCUGGAGUCCAGGUGGACCUUCUGACUCAGCAGCUGUCAGACUCCUCCGCCGUGCUGCUGCACUGUUUCUCAGUCCGCCCGGACGGCCCAGAUGGGGGCGCCCUGCUGCAGCACUGUACCCCGAAGCGCACUCGGACCAGAACCAUCAGAAGUCCCAUCCAGUCAGAGUUCCUGUCAGAUUCCUCAUACACGCAUGCUGGACCCAAGAGGGCGGCGAGAAGACGAGGAGCCCCACAGCAGGGCUCCAGCCCCGCCGCCCCGGCUGCGGCUGGUCCAGAGCCAAGUGUGGCAUCCCCCGGACAAGCUCUGCCGCAUCAGCAAGAAGGCGAGGAGCUUGUGACAGAAGAUCCUGCUGAUCCCAGCUGGACUCCUGCUGAAGAAGAGCCGCGCCCUGACGGCCGGCAUGCCUCCGUGCCGGCGCUGAAGCUGGACCCCGACAGCACCAUGUGUGAGGUCUGUGGGAAGGUGAUGAAGAAGUCCAGCCUGACUCAGCACUCCUUCAUCCACACGGGGAGGAAACCCUUCUCCUGCCAUCUCUGUGAGCUGCGCUUCAAUCGCCGUGGAAAUCUGCAGCACCACCUGAGCCGGAUGCACCCGAACGGCGUGACCAAACUGGAGAAGAGGCGCAAGGUGCAGACCUGGCUCUGCGAGGUCUGCGGCAAGACCUUCAACUGCCGCUCAGCCUUGAAGUUGCACGAGGUCAUCCACACUGGGGUCAAAGCCCACCGCUGCGACCUUUGCCCCAAAGCCUACAUGCGCAUAUAUGAGCUGAACCACCACAAGAGGACGGUGCACGUGGAUGGCCAGGCCGCUCCGGGGCGCGCCGGCUCCAUGCUCUGCGACCGCUGUGGGAAGGAGUUUAAAUACAAGUCGCAGCUCGCUCUCCAUGUUCAGACGCACACCGGCGAGAGGCCGCACCACUGUCACAUCUGUGGCCGCAAGUUCGGGCGUCGGCGCUACCUGGAGCGCCACGUGUCUGUGGUCCACAGCAGCCAGGACCCGGAGGUGAGCCCGUCGCCCGAGCCCCCGCUGCCUUUUCCCUGCGGAGAGUGUGGCAAGCGGCUGAAGUCGGCGGCCUCUCUGGCAGCUCACGCUUGCCUUGGCGGCGGAGACAGACCUCACCGUUGCAGCGUCUGCCAGCGCAGCUUCCUGUGCAGCACCAGCCUGAAGCAGCACCACCUGCGGGUGCACAUGAAGGUCCGGCGAAGCAAGGCAGCCGCGGCAAAGAUGUUCCCGUGCGCGGUCUGCGGGAAGGUCUUCAGGUUCCGCUCCUUGCUGGCGGGACACGCCAUGAUCCACAGCGAGGUUCGACCGCACGCCUGCGACUUCUGCAGCCGCAGAUUCAAGCGCGUCAGCCACCUGAAGAAGCACCGCCAGACGGUUCAUGCAAACGGUGCUCGUCUCCCAGAGACCUUCGUGUGUCCCUUCUGCGGCCAAGACAAGAAGUGUCGCUCUCAGCUCAGCAUGCACCUCAUGAUCCACACCGGGGAGCGGCCCUUCGCCUGUGACCUCUGCCCGGCUCGCUUCAACCGCCGCGGCAACCUGCAGCAGCACCAGAGGGCGGUCCAUGGGGUGGGCCGCCCCACCCCCGACCCGCCCGUCCUCUUUGAGGAUGACGGGGAAGCGCUGGCAUGUAAGGAGGAGGAGACUCAGAUGGGUCUGGACCCGAGUUCGGACCACAGUUGAUUGUUCUCAUUCUGCUCCUGUGGCUCGCCUGGAACAGCAGUUGCUCAAAGUAAAACUGUUGAAAUUGCACUUGAUCAAAGCGGCUCAGUGUGUGGUGUUUCUGUGUCGGGCAAAAGGUCGAUCCCGGUGUGACCUGGAUCCUAAUCUUUGUCUGGGGCCUGUGGUGAGGCGGGUGUAGCAGGACUGAGGCUGGCAGCAAGGAAGGAGGCAGGCAGGGACUUUGCAUGAGCUUCAUCUUCAUGUGUGAGCUGAUAGACGCUCGGCUCAUCCUCGGUGCUUCUUCAGUCUCAACACGUUGGCGUGGCCACGUCCCCUCCUGAACAGCGCCACAAACCUCAAUGGCAUGUAUUGUAGCAGAGCCAGAGUUGAUGCUGUCAUGAAGCCUGGGCUUGACGGCUCUUCAGAAGCAGACUGUUGUUAUCGCCGUCCACACCAAAGGUUUCGCAGACUCGACACAAAAGACACAAGGAGACGAAUACUAAAGAGUUUCAGGCGUGUUCUGGGUGCGCCAAGAGGCCCCUCUUUAACCUCUCUCUCACAUAUACAGUAAUGUAGCGUUGCUCCUGCUGUAUUAUUGUGACCAUUAAAGGCAUUUUAUGAGCGGCUGUUGAAUGGCUGCAGUGGACCUUCCGGGCCAGAUAGAGGCGCUGCAGCCACUCACCGACGAUGGACUUGCGAGUGUUUCCGGUGCGGCCUGGCUCCGAGCGGGUUUUCCCAAGUUCCCAAGUUUCUCUUUCAAAUUAAGUUUGGUCUUCGACUCGCAGUUGUUUUGGGGGCCGCCAGGCACCGCAUCACUCGACCGUCAAGUGAACCCGGGAUUCGAGCGCCCUCGGCGAAGGCAGCAGGUUGGUGAGGCUGAAGCGCCAUCGUUAGCACGUUAGCCGGCCGCUGCUAACGCAACAACCGAGGGACAGGCAGUGGCUUUACAGCGACUCGUCCGGGGUGCUGCUCACCUGUCUGUCCGUCAGACCUGACGGGCCUGACGGAGGCGCGCUGCUGCGCCACUGCACCACCGCGCCCAGAAGCAGCAGCCAUGUCAAGCCAUGCAUCAAACGCGCCG